rnacentral:tRNA from 1 species
GAGAGGUUUAGAAGACCUGCUAACUCUUC